AGUGAACGCUGGCGGUAGGCCUAACACAUGCAAGUCGAACGGCAGCACAGUAAGAGCUUGCUCUUACGGGUGGCGAGUGGCGGACGGGUGAGGAAUACAUCGGAAUCUACUUUUUCGUGGGGGAUAACGUAGGGAAACUUACGCUAAUACCGCAUACGACCUACGGGUGAAAGCAGGGGAUCUUCGGACCUUGCGCGAUUGAAUGAGCCGAUGUCGGAUUAGCUAGUUGGCGGGGUAAAGGCCCACCAAGGCGACGAUCCGUAGCUGGUCUGAGAGGAUGAUCGGCCAAAUUGGACCUGGACCACGGUCCAGACUCCUAGGGGAGGCAGCGGUGGGAAUUUUUGACCAAUGGGGGAAGCCUGAUCCAGCCAUACCGCGUGGGUGAAGAAGGCCUUCGGGUUGUAAAGCCCUUUUGUUGGGAAAGAAAAGCAGCAGGUUAAUACCCCGCUGUUCUGACGGUACCCAAAGAAUAAGCACCGGCUAACUUCGUG
rnacentral:rRNA from 1 species